GCUUGCUUCGGCAGAACAUACACUAAAAUUAGAAGGAUACAGAGAGGAUUAACAUGGCCCCUGCAGAAGGAUGACAUGCAAAUUCGUGAAGCAUUCCAUAUUUUU